UAUUUCAAUUUCCCUCCCUCACGAUUCACCUUCAAAUUCCUCAUAGGUUUCAAAACCUCCCCCAAUCAUAAUUUCCUUUCCAUUAAACUACCAAGUCCAUCGAUAGUUUCAUUUCUCAUUUAAAAUUAGAAUUGCAGAGAAAUACGGAGAAUACAAUUCUCAGAAUUCGCGGCUUCCGGGUAAAUUCCAGGUUCUGUGUUUGUGAUGUGAUUCAGGAAUUAUCUCAUUUACGGAGGAUAUAUUUUUUAAAAUUACCGUUCGUCUUUGUUUAUGCAUUUUCUCGGUUAAGUGGUUGCAGGAAAUUUCAUUUUUAAUUAGGAUUCAUUGAUUAAUUUUGUCCAGAUCUAAGAAUGCAGGGGAAAAUUCACGCAUAAUUUGAGUGGGAGUUUAUUGAUAUCUAUUAAAUUUAAUUAAAUUCUUCAAUAUCAGUGAGUCUUAGAUGGACAUGGGUGUUAUCUGUGAAAAAUAGUGAAGAAGAUGAUGAAUAAAUCUCCAUUGAAGGAGAAUGAAGGAAAAAUGAAGAUGAAAAUGCCUGAGGAAGAGAGAGAACGACAGGGGAGAGUUUUCAUUAAUGGACUACAUUUUUGGAAAGUUAUUCAAGCAAAUUACAAUAAGGAGCCUUAUAUAUAGGCUAAGUAAAAGAGCAAAAUCCAACAAAUCAACCUAACUAAUUACAUUUUAUUUUCAAUUUUAACAUUAUCUACUUUUACUUAUUUCUAUUAUUUCUGCCGAAAUUUUAGAAGUUUGUUUAGCAUACCGUAGAUGGUGAACUCUUCAUGGUUGUGCUUACAUAUUAAUGGUGCUCCAGGUUUGUAGAACUUACCCUCGAAGAUGCCUUUUUGGUUUGUACUUUGAUUUUUUACUCUUUUAAUUGUAUAUAGUUUAUCUCACGCACUUAGCCUGAAUUUACUAGCUUCUAGUUUAUAUCUAUUGAAGCUGGACUAAAUUUGUAUUGAACUUUAUUAAUAGUAGGUAAAACAAGUGAGAAUCUUCAAAGCAAAAUUCUUUGUUGACCCACUCCCUAGUUCAAGUGAAGUUGUAUUGCUUCUAUAGCUGACUGUGUUCUACAUGGAAGACUAGUGUUGAUUAGGCUUUCAUUUCUUUUGGAAUAGGGUGCGGUUGCAAUAUUGAGUUAAUUACUUUGCAUACUCAGGAGAAAUGUCAAGAAGGAAACUAAAUUUUAAAGACCCUAUCAAGGAUGAUAGACCUCUUCAUGUUGAGAUGAUUUUCAAACUAAGCUUUGAGUAUUGGAGAUAGCAACGGUCCUUUAGCAUUAGUGUUGGACAAGGACAAGUACUGUGCAAUGAUCCCACCUCAGCUAAGCAAGGAAUGUGUUGUCAUUUUGAAGAACAAGCAAUGUGUCUGCAAAUGUGCUAUGCACUUUUGGAUAGAUUGGGGCUUCACAAUUUUUAGUGCCGAUAUUGUUUGAGUAGAAGAUGGCCAACACAUUAUUGUUGAGUAUGCGCGUUCACAUAGGUUUUGUCGGAAGACCAUUAGGUAUUUGGGAUUUCUGUUAUUCAAAAUUGACAUUUUAUUAGGAUGAGUAGUUUAUGAAAUUUUGUUUGGAUUUAUGUUAAUUCAAAUUUGACAUGAGUUCUUUAUGAAAUUUUGUUUGAUGAUUUA